AAAGUAACAUUGAUGCAGCAGUUAAAAAGUUUUCAGGGAACUUUACUAUCAUGUUAUUUCACUAUGAUGGCCGGACUAGUGAAUGGGAUGACCUUGAGUGGUCAAAGCAAGCAAUCCAUGUGAGUGUGUUGAAGCAAACUAAAUGGUGGUAUGCCAAAAGGUUUUUGCAUCCUGAUGUGGUUGCAGCAUAUGAUUACAUAUUUAUAUGGGAUGAAGACCUUGGGGUGGAGCAUUUUGAUGCUGAAGAG